rnacentral:tRNA from 1 species
CGGGAUAUAGUUCAAUGGUAGAACAAAAGUCACAAUCCAUCAUCUCUUUGAAAAAAAGACUUAUGUCCACGGUUCGAUUCCGUGUGUCCCGA